rnacentral:tRNA from 1 species
AAAAAGAUAAGCUAAUUAAGCUAUUAGGUUCAUACCCUGAUUAUAGAAGUUAAUCCUUCUUCUUUUUA